UACGUAGGGUGCAAGCGUUGUCCGGAAUUAUUGGGCGUAAAGAGCUCGUAGGCGGUUUGUCGCGUCUGCUGUGAAAACGCGAGGCUCAACCUCGCGCCUGCAGUGGGUACGGGCAGACUAGAGUGCGGUAGGGGAGAUUGGAAUUCCUGGUGUAGCGGUGGAAUGCGCAGAUAUCAGGAGGAACACCGAUGGCGAAGGCAGAUCUCUGGGCCGUAACUGACGCUGAGGAGCGAAAGCAUGGAGAGCGAACAGG
rnacentral:rRNA from 1 species